CCCUUAGAUGUUCUGGGCCGCACGCGCGCUACACUGACGAUGGCAACGAGUUUUUCCUUCGCCGAAAGGUGUGGGUAAUCUUUUGAAACAUCGUCGUGCUGGGGAUAGAUCAUUGCAAUUUUUGAUCUUGAACGAGGACUUCCUAGUAAGCGCGAGUCAUCAGCUCGCGUUGAUUACGUCCCUGCCCUUUGUACACACCGCCCGUCGCUACUACCGAUUGAAUGGUUUAGUGAGGACUCCUGAUUGGCGCCGCCGCCCCGGCAACGGAGCAGCGGACUGCCGAAAAGUUGUUCAAACUUGAUCAUUUAGAGGAAGUAAAAGUCGUAACA
rnacentral:rRNA from 1 species